UUAAGUGACUAAGCGUACACGGUGGAUGCCUGGGCAGUCAGAGGCGAUGAAGGACGUACUAACUUGCGAUAAGCGCAGAUAAGGCAGUAAGAGCCGUUUGAGUCUGCGAUUUCCGAAUGGGGAAACCCAACUGCAUAAGCAGUUACUGUUAACUGAAUACAUAGGUUAACAGAGCAAACCGGGGGAACUGAAACAUCUAAGUACCCCGAGGAGAAGAAAUCAACCGAGAUUCCGGUAGUAGCGGCGAGCGAACCUGGAUUAGCCCUUAAGCACUCGGUGAAGUAGGUGAACAAGCUGGAAAGCUUGGCGAUACAGGGUGAUAGCCCCGUAACCGACGCUUCAUCGAGCGUGAAAUCGAGUAGGGCGGGACACGUGAUAUCCUGUCUGAAUAUGGGGGGACCAUCCUCCAAGGCUAAAUACUCCUGACUGACCGAUAGUGAACCAGUACCGUGAGGGAAAGGCGAAAAGAACCCCUGUGAGGGGAGUGAAAUAGAACCUGAAACCGUGUACGUACAAGCAGUAGGAGCACCUUCGUGGUGUGACUGCGUACCUUUUGUAUAAUGGGUCAGCGACUUAUAUUCAGUGGCAAGGUUAACCGUAUAGGGGAGCCGUAGCGAAAGCGAGUCUUAACUGGGCGCUCAGUCUCUGGAUAUAGACCCGAAACCGGGUGAUCUAGCCAUGGGCAGGUUGAAGGUUGAGUAACAUCAACUGGAGGACCGAACCGACUAAUGUUGAAAAAUUAGCGGAUGACUUGUGGCUAGGGGUGAAAGGCCAAUCAAACUCGGAGAUAGCUGGUUCUCCCCGAAAGCUAUUUAGGUAGCGCCUCGGACGAAUACUACUGGGGGUAGAGCACUGUUAAGGCUAGGGGGUCAUCCCGACUUACCAACCCUUUGCAAACUCCGAAUACCAGUAAGUACUAUCCGGGAGACACACGGCGGGUGCUAACGUCCGUCGUGGAGAGGGAAACAACCCAGACCGCCAGCUAAGGUCCCAAAGUAUUGCUAAGUGGGAAACGAUGUGGGAAGGCUCAGACAGCUAGGAUGUUGGCUUAGAAGCAGCCAUCAUUUAAAGAAAGCGUAAUAGCUCACUAGUCGAGUCGGCCUGCGCGGAAGAUGUAACGGGGCUAAGCAAUACACCGAAGCUGCGGCAAUGUCUUUUAGACAUUGGGUAGGGGAGCGUUCUGUAAGCCGUUGAAGGUGAAUCGUAAGGUUUGCUGGAGGUAUCAGAAGUGCGAAUGCUGACAUGAGUAACGACAAAGGGGGUGAAAAACCUCCUCGCCGGAAGACCAAGGGUUCCUGUCCAACGUUAAUCGGGGCAGGGUGAGUCGACCCCUAAGGUGAGGCCGAAAGGCGUAAUCGAUGGGAAACGGGUUAAUAUUCCCGUACUUCUGACUAUUGCGAUGGGGGGACGGAGAAGGCUAGGUGGGCCAGGCGACGGUUGUCCUGGUUCAAGUGCGUAGGCUUGAGAGUUAGGUAAAUCCGGCUCUCUCUAAGGCUGAGACACGACGUCGAGCUGCUACGGCAGUGAAGUCAUUGAUGCCAUGCUUCCAGGAAAAGCCUCUAAGCUUCAGAUAGUCAGGAAUCGUACCCCAAACCGACACAGGUGGUCGGGUAGAGAAUACCAAGGCGCUUGAGAGAACUCGGGUGAAGGAACUAGGCAAAAUGGUACCGUAACUUCGGGAGAAGGUACGCUCUUGAUGGUGAAGUCCCUCGCGGAUGGAGCUGACGAGAGUCGCAGAUACCAGGUGGCUGCAACUGUUUAUUAAAAACACAGCACUGUGCAAAAUCGCAAGAUGACGUAUACGGUGUGACGCCUGCCCGGUGCCGGAAGGUUAAUUGAUGGGGUUAGCGCAAGCGAAGCUCUUGAUCGAAGCCCCGGUAAACGGCGGCCGUAACUAUAACGGUCCUAAGGUAGCGAAAUUCCUUGUCGGGUAAGUUCCGACCUGCACGAAUGGCGUAAUGAUGGCCACGCUGUCUCCACCCGAGACUCAGUGAAAUUGAAAUCGCUGUGAAGAUGCAGUGUACCCGCGGCUAGACGGAAAGACCCCGUGAACCUUUACUACAGCUUGGCACUGAACAUUGAACCUACAUGUGUAGGAUAGGUGGGAGGCUAUGAAGACGUGACGCCAGUUGCGUUGGAGCCGUCCUUGAAAUACCACCCUUGUAUGUUUGAUGUUCUAACUUAGACCCAUUAUCUGGGUUGAGGACAGUGCCUGGUGGGUAGUUUGACUGGGGCGGUCUCCUCCCAAAGAGUAACGGAGGAGCACGAAGGUGGGCUAAUCACGGUUGGACAUCGUGAGGUUAGUGCAAUGGCAUAAGCCCGCUUAACUGCGAGAAUGACGGUUCGAGCAGGUGCGAAAGCAGGUCAUAGUGAUCCGGUGGUUCUGUAUGGAAGGGCCAUCGCUCAACGGAUAAAAGGUACUCCGGGGAUAACAGGCUGAUACCGCCCAAGAGUUCAUAUCGACGGCGGUGUUUGGCACCUCGAUGUCGGCUCAUCACAUCCUGGGGCUGAAGUCGGUCCCAAGGGUAUGGCUGUUCGCCAUUUAAAGUGGUACGCGAGCUGGGUUUAGAACGUCGUGAGACAGUUCGGUCCCUAUCUGCCGUGGGCGUUGGAAGAUUGAAGGGGGCUGCUCCUAGUACGAGAGGACCGGAGUGGACGAACCUCUGGUGUUCGGGUUGUGUCGCCAGACGCAUUGCCCGGUAGCUAAGUUCGGAAUUGAUAAGCGCUGAAAGCAUCUAAGCGCGAAGCGAGCCCUGAGAUGAGUCUUCCCU
rnacentral:rRNA from 1 species